AGGGAGCUUAUUGAGAUUGUCUGGAAGAGCCUCACCUAAUCCCAUGAGCUUCUGAAAUCAGCCAAACUUUCUCUGGCUGGUGGCAGAAGGCAGAAAGAGACAUGAGAGCGGUGCUCCCCCUGGGCUGGCCCAGGAAGAAGCAGACGUCUGAUGGAGAGCACUGACCUCUCACAGGGAUGCUGGGGCCACGCUCGGCCCUGACGGGGAGCCAGACAACAGGGAUCUCUGUGCCACAAGCAAGGCACCACAGCCAGCAACCUCAAUGCGCUCGGCAGCCAAUUCUUCCCCAGAAAUUUCUGAGGGAAAUGUGGUCUGCAACACCUGAACUGCACCUUCGGGAAACCUUGAGUAGAGGAUCCCAUGAUGUUUCCACCCAGAAAUGCAAACCAUGACUGGCAAUCACCUUAAAGUUGUUCCAUAUGUUUACCCAUGGCGUUAAUCAUCACCAUGAUGGAAUGGGCGAAAGAAAUGAGAAUGAACUCUUAGGACAACCUGGUCAUUCAGUGCAGUGGGCUGCAUCCCUGUUUUCUGUCUCCCUGUGAUGAUGGACACAGGCAACCUCCCCCUCCCGACCAGGCUCACCAUGAUACCUGGCACCUGGGCACACACGGGGCCCGUGACGCCUGUGUGUUAAGUGACUGUGCCAUCUAGUCCUUUCAUGCAGGUGUGAUGACUCUCUUCCUAACCUCCCUACCCUACCUGUCACUCUGAUAACCAGGGCGCCCAUGCCAGUUAGUCGCCAUCCCAUGCCAGGACAGUGCCCCCCACCCCCCGCUCCCAGCACGCCUCCUGUGUUCCAUUUACCUGGCACCUGACACUCUGCCUGGUACCAAGUGGGCUCCCAGUAACCACAUGUGGAAUGAACUGCCACAGGCGAAAAGGGAAAUGAGGAGGAGGGGAAGGAAGGGGCUGGAUGGCUGAGAGUUCCCUUGGUCACAGAUGAGCCCCACUCUGUCUGUUUAUUAAAUCCCUGCUGCCGAGCAGGGUGCCAAAUAAAGAUACCC